rnacentral:RNase_P_RNA from 1 species
GAGAGGGAGAGUGCGGCCGACGGUAACGUAUUUACGUAGCUGAGGAAAGUCCCCCCACCAUCCGGGUACGCAGCCCUGAUUAUCAGGGGUGGUGAGAAUCACGGCUAUGGACCAGAAACGAUACGGAGUGUCUGGAGUUAUGAUGCAUGUCUGCUGAACUGCGAAGGUCACAACCGAUGAAACGGCGAAUCCCUGCGGGUGCAAAUCGAAACAGGGCAUAUAGAUAACUCGGAAUCUGCCCGGGUUCGGUGCUAAGCUGAAUGCCGCAAUGAACAGAAGGGGGCUUACUCCUCCUACUC